rnacentral:sRNA from 1 species
CCCAGAAACACCCUCCUUUCAAAGGGAGCCCUGAGUCCUGAGCCUUUGCCUCCAAAAGGUCUGCAGUAUCUGGUGCUCUUGUCUCAUGCCCACAGCCGAGAGUGCAGCCUGGUGCCCGGGCUUCGGGGGCCUGGCGGCCAAGAUGGGGGGCUUGUGUGGGAGUGCUCAGCAGGCCAUACCUUCUCCUGGGGACCCUCUUUGAGCCCUACACCUUCAGAGGCACCCAAGCCAGCCUCCCUUCCACAUACUUCUCGGAGAAGUUGGUGUUCCGAGGCCACAAGUGGGCAGGAGCUUGCAGAUUUGGAAUCUGAGCAUGAUGAGCGGACUCAAGAGGCCAGGUUGCCCAGGAGGGUGGGACCCCCACCAGAGACCUUUCCACCUCCAGGAGAGGAAGAGGGUGAGGAAGAGGACGAUGAUGAGGAUGAAGAGGAGAUGCUCAGUGAUGCCAGCUUAUGGACCUACAGCUCCUCCCCAGAUGAUGAGCCUGAUGCCCCCAGACUACGCCCUUCCCCUGUCACCUGCACACCUAAAGAGGGGGAGACACCACCAUCCCCUGCAGCACUCUCCACUCCUCUUGCUCUGCCGUCCUUGUCAGCAUCCUCAUUGAGUUCCAGAGCUCCUCCACCUGCAGAAGUCAGGGU